AGCGAACGCUGGCGGCAGGCUUAACACAUGCAAGUCGAGCGGGCAUAGCAAUAUGUCAGCGGCAGACGGGUGAGUAACGCGUGGGAACGUACCUUUUGGUUCGGAACAACACAGGGAAACUUGUGCUAAUACCGGAUAAGCCCUUACGGGGAAAGAUUUAUCGCCGAAAGAUCGGCCCGCGUCUGAUUAGCUAGUUGGUGAGGUAAUGGCUCACCAAGGCGACGAUCAGUAGCUGGUCUGAGAGGAUGAUCAGCCACAUUGGGACUGAGACACGGCCCAAACUCCUACGGGGGGCAGCAGAGGGGAAUAUUGGACAAUGGGCGCAAGCCUGAUCCAGCCAUGCCGCGUGAGUGAUGAAGGCCCUAGGGUUGUAAAGCUCUUUUGUGCGGGAAGAUAAUGACGGUACCGCAAGAAUAAGCCCCGGCUAACUUCGUG
rnacentral:rRNA from 1 species